CAUCAAGAAGCUUUCUAAAGCAUCAACCUUUUAAGUUGGAGAAGAAACACGGUUUCCUUGAUGA
rnacentral:tRNA from 1 species